UGGACAGUGGGACAGGCUUAAGGCAUCUCAUGUGGAUGAGUACAAGACCAGAACAGCAGAGGAUGGAUCUGCAGAAUGGGAACAAGAAAGUGAGAUUGUGACCAAAAGCUGUGAUUCGUGCAAAAAUUGCCCACUGUGCUGCUAUCAACUUCUCAGACGGUUCAACAUGCUCUCAGAUGUUUAUCGUCUCCUUGGGCUUGCAUACAAGUACCUGCUGACCCUCUCUCUGACUCAGGAUGCUGUCACUCAUUUUUGGAAGCCUGCUGUGGUUUCCUCAAAGGUUCCAUGUUUGAGGAAAUAUUAUGUGCUGCUGACCUGAGUUUUGCUGCUGCUGGAUGUCAAUGCUGACUUUAUUAAUAUGGUUUAUUAAUAUGGAUCCAAGAAUAUGUUGUUCAUUUGUUCAGGAGAUUGAGUACACCAUGCAUCCUUUUGGUUCUCUCCAAGUACUGUAAGUACUGCAUGGAACUGAUUAUUCAACUAUUUCUCUGGAGUACAUAGACCAGUACUGUGAUCACCUGAGUAAGUCCAUCAAGUGUUAUUCUUUCUCACCUUUUUCUGUCUGUCUCCUAUCACUUUUUGAAGGGUUCCAUGUUGGAGGAAAUAUUCUUUGCUACUCUGCUGUUUGUGUGGAAUAAAUAAUCUCUAAAAAUA